rnacentral:lncRNA from 1 species
CUGACACAAAAGACAGCAGCAACAACAAAAAAAAAAUAAAAAAUCUGAACAGCUGUUCCUUUGUUGUUCAGCAAAAAAAAGAAAACCAAACUACAAAGCAGCACUCCAAGGUCAUAUUACUCCUUUACAGGGGGGAAAUGAAGAGGCUUGAAACAUUUUAGUGAGCUUGAGAAUUUACUGUGGUGAGAUUUGGGAUACAAACUUUGCUGCCUUGAGAUGAGAGCCUUGCUGAAGCUGCACUAUUGCAGUUUGAACUUCUCCACAGGAAUCCAGGAGCUACAACCUGGCCCACCUAAACUGCAGAAUGUCCUGUAGUUAUAGAGGAUCCCAGAGGAGAUCCCAGGAAAGGAGGGAACUUCUUUCCCCUCUCUGGAUACAAGACUGUGUAAUGCCUGGAACCAGGCAGGAUCCUGAAAGCAAAGCCAGCCUGGAACCUGCAUGGAAAGCAGAGCCAGAGGAACGGGCGACUCUUUAUCUUGUCCAGUGGUUUUCUUCAAACACCAGUAAUUAAGAGCCAAAAGCACAGAGGAAGCAUUUAGGAAUUUGGCCAGCACACACUCUCCAGCAAGUGCUGUGCAUGAUGUGUGUGACCCCAGUGUUUCCAGACCACCCAGCUCCUAGGGACUGGGAUAAACUGGUUUGCUGCAGCUGCCUUCUGCUUUAAAGCCUACAGAGCAUCCACUUUACACCUUGGAAUCAAAUCCUGGAUUAUUUUUACUCCCAGAGGCUCAAGCUGGAAAACUCCUGAAGGGUGAGCAGUACACGAAGACAGUGUUGAGAUCUAACACUGGCACUACAGCAACCCCAGUGCUCUGUGUUAUGAUGUCC